UCCUUCGGGAGGGUGCCCUAGCGGCGAACGGGUGAGUAACACGUGGGCAACCUGCCCCUAGCACUGGGAUAACCCCGGGAAACCGGGGCUAAUACCGGAUACGACUCCGGAGGGCAUCCUCCGGCGUGGAAAGAUUUAUCGGCUAGGGAUGGGCCCGCGGCCUAUCAGCUUGUUGGUGGGGUAACGGCCCACCAAGGCGACGACGGGUAGCCGGCCUGAGAGGGCGACCGGCCACACUGGGACUGAGACACGGCCCAGACUCCUACGGGAGGCAGCAGUGGGGAAUAUUGCACAAUGGGCGAAAGCCUGAUGCAGCGACGCCGCGUGAGGGAUGACGGCCUUCGGGUUGUAAACCUCUUUCAGCUCCGACGAAGCGAAAGUGACGGUAGGAGCAGAAGAAGCACCGGCCAACUACGUGCCAGCAGCCGCGGUAAUACGUAGGGUGCAAGCGUUGUCCGGAAUUAUUGGGCGUAAAGAGCUCGUAGGCGGCUUGUCGCGUCGGCUGUGAAAACCUGGGGCUCAACCCCGGGCCUGCAGCCGAUACGGGCAAGCUAGAAUUCGGUAGGGGAGACUGGAAUUCCUGGUGUAGCGGUGAAAUGCGCAGAUAUCAGGAGGAACACCGGUGGCGAAGGCGGGUCUCUGGGCCGAUAUUGACGCUGAGGAGCGAAAGCGUGGGGAGCGAACAGGAUUAGAUACCCUGGUAGUCCACGCCGUAAACGUUGGGAACUAGGUGUGGGCCACAUUCCACGUGGUCUGUGCCGCAGCUAACGCAUUAAGUU
rnacentral:rRNA from 1 species